rnacentral:rRNA from 1 species
GAUGAACGCUGGCGGCGUGCCUAAUACAUGCAAGUCGAGCGAACAGACGAGGAGCUUGCUCCUCUGAUGUUAGCGGCGGACGGGUGAGUAACACGUGGAUAACCUACCUAUAAGACUGGGAUAACUUCGGGAAACCGGAGCUAAUACCGGAUAACAUGUUGAACCGCAUGGUUCAACAGUGAAAGACGGUCUUGCUGUCACUUAUAGAUGGAUCCGCGCCGCAUUAGCUAGUUGGUAAGGUAACGGCUUACCAAGGCAACGAUGCGUAGCCGACCUGAGAGGGUGAUCGGCCACACUGGAACUGAGACACGGUCCAGACUCCUACGGGAGGCAGCAGUAGGGAAUCUUCCGGAAUGGGCGAAAGCCUGACGGAGCAACGCCGCGUGAGUGAAGAAGGUCUUCGGAUCGUAAAACUCUGUUAUUAGGGAAGAACAAAUGUGUAAGUAACUAUGCACGUCUUGACGGUACCUAAUCAGAAAGCCACGGCUAACUACGUG